ensembl:snRNA U6 U6 spliceosomal RNA
UUGCUCACUUUGGCAGCACAUAUACUAAAAUUGGAAUGAGAGAAGAUAAGCAAGGCCACUGUGUAAGGAUGACACACAAAUUUGUGAAGUGCUCCAUACUUUU